rnacentral:tRNA from 3 species
GCGAAGGUGGCGGAAUUGGUAGACGCGCUAGCUUCAGAUGUUAGUGUCCUUACGGACGUGGGGGUUCAAGUCCCCCCCCUCGCACCA